UACGGGGGGGGCAAGCGUUGUUCGGAAUUACUGGGCGUAAAGAGCUCGUAGGCGGUUUGUUGCGUCGGCUGUGAAAUCCCGAGGCUCAACCUCGGGUCUGCAGUCGAUACGAGCAAACUAGAGUGUUGCAGGGGAGACUGGAAUUCCUGGUGUAGCGGUGAAAUGCGCAGAUAUCAGGAGGAACACCGGUGGCGAAGGCGGGUCUCUGGGCAACAACUGACGCUGGAGGAGCGAAAGCGUGGGGAGCGAACAGG
rnacentral:rRNA from 1 species